rnacentral:RNase_P_RNA from 1 species
CAGGUCGGUCGGGCGGUCGCGGCCCUGGUACAGGGUCGAGGAAAGUCCGCGCUCCACAGGGCAGGGUGCCGGGUAACACCCGGGGCGCCGUAAGGUGCCGGACAGGGCCACAGAAACAUACCGCCUCGGAUGAGGUAAGGGUGAAAUGGUGGUGUAAGAGACCACCGGCGAGCGCAGUAAUGCGCCGGCCAGGCAACCCCCACCCGGAGCAAGGCCAAGCAGGGACCAUCCCUUCGGGGUAAGGGCGGCCCGUCCAAGGGUCCCGGGUAGGCCGCUAGAGCCGCCGGGAGACCGGUGGCCCAGAGAGAUGACCGCCCAUCUCCUUCGGGAGUGGACAGAACGCGGCUUAUAGACCGGCCUGGGUG